rnacentral:ncRNA from 1 species
UUCAUCGUGAGGUGAAAUCUGAAGGAAGCUGAAAGCAAAAUGCGGGUCUGACGAACAGGAAGCCGUUUAGGCGGUACAGCGGGGUAAGGCGGCCAUUAUCGUCAACGCCCAAUACUUGCACGGAACGCUGUGACGUAGAGCGGACAGACAUAUGCAGGAAGGUCACGCGA